GAGACCUAUCACCCACAGAAACAACCAUUUAUCGCGCUUUAAUCAGAAAUAAUUGGAUCCCAAAAUACCCACCUCCUGCCAUAACGAUCCGGGUUUCCUGCAACUUUGUUUGAUGAGAGAGAGAGAGGAGAUCGAUCUCUAUCGACUUUCCAGAAUUUGAUCCGUUUAGGGUUUUCUUGCAACUUUGAUAGAGGAAACCGAUCUAUUUAUCAGACACAAAACUUAUGGGCCUGGGCUAUAUAACUUUAUGGUCUAACAUGUAGUGUUAUUCAAGGUUUCAUUUACGUAGACUGACUUGUUCACAUGAAUCUAGAGUCACUCGCAAUGAACUUGCAACAGUGUUCUUCCUGUUAGGAGUAUAGCUUAUUAGUUUCUCGUUUAAAAUUUCAUUUUCAUUCAGUGACUUGCUAAGGUUUUGCCGUUAUACCUUUUUAAUCUAACAAGUACUCUUCUUAUCUGUUAGAAAAGUAUAGCUUAGUUUCUUGUCCUAGUUACCUAAAUUUCACAAGUUAGAUCAUGGCAAGAAUAUUUUCCUCACGGCUUGAAAAUGGAAACAGGUAUGAUGCUAACUGAGGAGGUGAGCGUGAGAUCCAAAGAAGUAUGUUGGAACGUCUGAUUCAAGAGGAGAUGUUAAAGUCAUCCUUGCAACAAACAGAAUCGAGAGUCUUGACCCUGCACUUGUUCGGCUAUCAGCAAACCAUGCAUGGCUCGUUCCCGGAGCAGCUUUCACUGUAAAGAAGAAGGAUUGCUCCAUCAAAUAUGCUGCUUCUCGCCUAAAGCUAGCAAACAGAUCCCAUCAUCAACUCAAAGACCUCGUCUUCCCGUAAACUGUUUCCUACUCAUCGUACUAGAGCCACAGGUACGUACUGAUGUCGUGGCAGCUGUAGAGGGACAAGACUCUCCUCCUUUGUUAAAGAUGUUGCGAGUGUUGUCACGAUUGGUCAAGAGGUGAAAGUAAAGCUGGUGGAAGCUGACAUUGAGGCUAAACCUAUAUCUCUUACGAUGCGUACCAAGUUGAUGAAUCGGUAUAAAACAAGUGAAGAGAUUAUUUCAUCAGAAACUCCCAAGGUAGAAGAAGAAGAAAUGGGAGAGACCAAAGCUGAAGAAGUGACAGAAGAGCAAACGGAAACACUUGCUGAAGUUGAGGAAACUCCUCAUCUUCCUCCAGUUGCAGAAACCAAUAAGUAGAGAGGAAGUUGCUGCUGAUAACUCUAUUCCAGCCAGUGAUGAAGUUUCAUCUUCAGAAGCUGUAGCAAGUGAAGUCGCCGAGAAGGAGGAUGGGUUCUUUCCCAGCUGCAGCAUUUGAAGGAAGAUAUGAAGCUUAGUUACUUGGCUCAGGAACUCAUUCUUACCUCCUCAAUCUUGCUGUGCUAUGGGAAACUGUGAUAGUUUGCAUAAAAACCAUGAGACAGCACUGAAGAAUUUCCUACGAGCUGUUCAGUUGAAUCCAAGAUUUUGCAUAUGCACAUACUUUUAUGUGGCCACGAGUACGCAACUCUGGAAGACUUUGAGAGCGGAAUGAAAAGUUACCAAAACGCACUUCGUGUAGACACAAAAGACGCUAUAACGCAUGGUAUGGGCUUGGAAUGAUCUAUCUACGCCAAGUGAAGUUAUCGUUGUGUUCUCAGAGCAUCACUUCAGAAUGGCUUUCUUAAUAAAAUUUUGUUGUGUGAUAGACAGAGAAGCGAGGAAGCGUUAGAGAUAAUGGAGCAAGCUAUAUUUUUCUCUCCAGUAAUAAGCCAUCCCUUCGGUUUCAGCGUAUAUGAUGAUUUUCUAUAGCAAUUUUGUUUCAUCCAAUAAUAUUUAGAAAUUAAUGUUUUAUAUAUUCUUUCCAGAAUUUUAAUUGAAGUUUAAAAUAGUUGGUUUAA